rnacentral:rRNA from 1 species
AUUGAACGCUGGCGGCAUGCCUUACACAUGCAAGUCGAACGGCAGCACGGGAGCAAUCCUGGUGGCGAGUGGCGAACGGGUGAGUAAUAUAUCGGAACGUGCCCAGUCGUGGGGGAUAACGCAGCGAAAGCUGUGCUAAUACCGCAUACGAUCUACGGAUGAAAGCGGGGGAUCGCAAGACCUCGCGCGAUUGGAGCGGCCGAUAUCAGAUUAGCUAGGUGGUGGGGUAAAGGCCCAACAAGGCGACGAUCUGUAGCUGGUCUGAGAGGACGAACAGCCACACUGGAACUGAGACACGGUCCAGACUCCUACGGGAGGCAGCAGUGGGGAAUUUUGGACAAUGGGCGCAAGCCUGAUCCAGCAAUGCCGCGUGCAGGAUGAAGGCCUUCGGGUUGUAAACUGCUUUUGUACGGAACGAAACGGCUCCUUCUAAUACGAGGGGCUAAUGACGGUACCGUAAGAAUAAGCACCGGCUAACUACGUGCCAGCCGCCGCAGUAAGAC